GACGAACGCUGGCGGCGUGCUUAACACAUGCAAGUCGAACGGAAAGGCCCUGCUUUUGUGGGGUGCUCGAGUGGCGAACGGGUGAGUAACACGUGAGUAACCUGCCCUUGACUUUGGGAUAACUUCAGGAAACUGGGGCUAAUACCGGAUAGGAGCUCCUGCUGCAUGGUGGGGGUUGGAAAGUUUCGGCGGUUGGGGAUGGACUCGCGGCUUAUCAGCUUGUUGGUGGGGUAGUGGCUUACCAAGGCUUUGACGGGUAGCCGGCCUGAGAGGGUGACCGGCCACACUGGGACUGAGAUACGGCCCAGACUCCUACGGGAGGCAGCGGAGGGGAAUAUUGCACAAUGGGCGGAAGCCUGAUGCAGCAACGCCGCGUGCGGGAUGACGGCCUUCGGGUUGUAAACCGCUUUCGCCUGUGACGAAGCGUGAGUGACGGUAAUGGGUAAAGAAGCACCGGCUAACUACGUG
rnacentral:rRNA from 1 species